GACGAACGCUGGCGGCGUGCCUAACACAUGCAAGUCGAACGAGCGAGCGAGAAGCUUCCUUUUCUGACGUUAGCCGCACAGGUGUGUGUCACGCGUGGAUCACGUCCCUAUGAGGCUGACAUCAGUUCGGAAAAACUGAUCUUAUCCCAUAUACUCUCUUGACCCGCAUGGUUCAAGAGUGAAAGACGGACUUGCUGUCACUUAUAGUUGCAUCCGCGCUGCAUUAGCUAGUUGGUAAGGUAACGGCUUACCAAGGCAACGAUGCAUAGCCGACCUGAGAGGGUGGUCGGCCACACUGGAAGUGAGACAGGGUCCAGACACCGACGCGAGGCAGCAGCAGGGAAUCCUACGCAAGGAGGCAAUGCCGGAUGGAGCAACGCGGCGUGAGUGAUGAAGGUCUUCGGAUGGUAGAACGCUGUUAUUCGGGAAGAAGAAAUGUGUAAUUGAUUGGGCAGAUCUUGACGGUACCCAACCAGAAAGCCACGGCUAACUACGUG
rnacentral:rRNA from 1 species